CGCAAAUAGACGGGGAUUUCCCUGUUGGAGAUUUUAUUAAAUAUUGCCUUCGCGCUUGUCUGGCCCUUUCUGUUGAUCCGAGUAGAAGAAAGUUGUGUGUAUUAAAUCUGUUACUACUAUAACAACAUCAUGAUGUCUGAUAUGUCACUUCAACAGAUUGUCAAUCACCAGAGUCUUAAUUUCCACCUCCCUUGUAAUGUACAAAUAGGUGAACACAACAUACAAAAUAAUCUGACUAACCAACUCAAAGAAGAUGUUGAAAAAAUGAAGAAUGAGAUACAACAACUCAAGUUGGACAAUCAGAACCGUGCUGACGAGAUACAACAACUCAAGUUGGAUAAUCUACAAUUUCAAUCCGAUAAACAGAAUCAAGCUGACAAAAUACAACUCCUUGAAUCAAGAGUUAAAGUUGUGGGAGAUAAAACAAGAGUCAAGAAAGUAGAUAAAACUAUAAAUAAAGUAAAGGAUGAUAUGAUAACUCUUACUGUAAAACGGAUUAGGUAUGGUGAUAUAAGUGAUACAAGUGUUAGUAGAGAUAAAACUGUAAGUGAACUAGAAUCUGAAAUAAAGGAGGAGUAUAGAAGGAAGUAUGGUAGAGAUCGUGGUGUUUGUUGUAUUUAUCGUAUCUACUGUGUAAAACAGGGGAAGAUCAUCUACCACCGUAACAACAACAAAGAUCUAUCAUUAUCACAUUACGGUGUAGGUGAUGGUGAUAAAGUCUACUGCGGGCUAGAGUCAUGUUUGAUAGAGAGAUAGAGAGAAAUGGGGUUUAACGUCCACUCGACACAAACUAGGUCAUUUCGGGACUAACAUAUGGUUUAAUUUUAUUUACAUAAUUCGCUUGCGCGUAGGGGUCUUUACCAGUGGGAGUCAUGUUUGAUAAACUUGACUGGGGGUACCAGUUUGAUUAUAUUGGGUUAUUUAAUAAUCAUAUACAUACUUAAACUAUAAAACAAUACUUAUCAUAUUAUGUAGAAUAUAAGUAUUGUGGUGGUAUAAAUAGUAUAUAUAUAUAUAUAUAAGUAUUGUGGUGGUAUAAAUAGUAUAUAUAU